rnacentral:rRNA from 1 species
CAGUCGCCGCGGUAAUACGUAGGUCCCGAGCGUUGUCCGGAUUUAUUGGGCGUAAAGCGAGCGCAGGCGGUUAGAUAAGUCUGAAGUUAAAGGCUGUGGCUUAACCAUAGUACGCUUUGGAAACUGUUUAACUUGAGUGCAAGAGGGGAGAGUGGAAUUCCAUGUGUAGCGGUGAAAUGCGUAGAUAUAUGGAGGAACACCGGUGGCGAAGGCGACUCUCUGGUCUGUAACUGACGCUGAGGAGCGAAAGCGUGGGGAGCGAACAGGAUUAGAUACCCCUGUAGUCCCUGUCUCUUAUACC